rnacentral:rRNA from 1 species
UACGUAGGGUGCAAGCGUUGUCCGGAAUUAUUGGGCGUAAAGAGCUCGUAGGCGGUCUGUCGCGUCUGCUGUGAAAACUCGGGGCUUAACCCCGGGCCUGCAGUGGGUACGGGCAGACUAGAGUGCGGUAGGGGAGACUGGAAUUCCUGGUGUAGCGGUGAAAUGCGCAGAUAUUGGGAGGAACACCAGUGGCGAAGGCGGCUACCUGGACCGGUUCUGACGCUGAGGCGCGAAAGCGUGGGUAGCAAACAGG